UGGGGAAUCUUGCGCAAUGGGCGAAAGCCUGACGCAGCAACGCCGCGUGAGCGAAGACGGCCUUCGGGUUGUAAAGCUCUGUCAGGAGGGACGAAGCCACUCAGGUGAAUAGCCGAGAGGGUGACGGUACCUCCAGAGGAAGCCCCGGCUAACUACGUGCCAGCAGCCGCGGUGAUACGUAGGGGGCGAGCGUUGUCCGGACUCCUUGGGCGUAAAGCGCGUGUAGGCGGCCAUCCAAGUCCGAUGUGAAAGCUCGGGGCUCAACCCCGAGUCUGCAUUGGAAACUGAAUGGCUUGAGUCCGGAAGAGGAGACGGUAAUGCCUGGUGUAGCGGUGAAAGGCGCAGAUAUCAGGAAGAACACCGGUGGCGAAGGCGGGUCUCUGGGACGGUACUGACGCUGAGACGCGAAAGCGUGGGGAGCAAACA
rnacentral:rRNA from 1 species